GUCCACGCCGUAAACGAUGGGCACUAGGUGUGGGAGGUGUCGACUCCUUCCGUGCCGUAGCUAACGCAUUAAGUGCCCCGCCUGGGGAGUACGGCCGCAAGGCUAAAACUCAAAGGAAUUGACGGGGGCCCGCACAAGCAGCGGAGCAUGUUGUUUAAUUCGACGCAACGCGAAGAACCUUACCUGGGUUUGACAUGACCGUGUAACUCCUGGAAACAGGAGCCCCUCGCAAGAGGCGCGGCCACAGGUGGUGCAUGGCUGUCGU
rnacentral:rRNA from 1 species